AGCGGGGGAUAGAAGGUCGCUGUUGAUAAUAAUCAAUAGAGGAAAGUCCGGACUCCACGGAAAUAAGGUGCCGGAUAACGUCCGGCGGGGCAGCUGCGGCUGUUUUAGGGAAAGUGCAACAGAAAAUAUACCGCCACUUUGUGGUAAGGGUGAAAUGGCGAGGUAAAAGCUCACCGCUUUUUCAGCAAUGAAAAAGGCAGUGCAAACCCCACCUGGAGCAAAGCUAAAUAGGAACACACGUCAUUGACAGGUGAAUUUCCGCACUGUGUUCGGGUAAGCUGCUUCAGCUAACAAGUAACUGUUGGCGCAGAUGAAUGACCUUCCACGACAGAAUCCGGCUUAUAGUCCCCCUUUAUCA
rnacentral:RNase_P_RNA from 1 species